rnacentral:lncRNA from 1 species
CACUCAAAAUCAAGAAUUGAAGACAAAAUAUUUUCAUUACAAAUUAGGACUAAAAGUGAAUAAAAUAUUAUCCAACUGAUUCUAUUUUCAUAUCAUAAAUUUUUACUAAAAGAUUUCUACCAAAAGUCAAAGUGGAAGUAUUUAGUGCCACAAAUUUGAUGAUAAAAAUUAGUAAUAAAAUAUAAUUUAAUGAUAAAAAAAUAUUUAUAACAACCCAGGAUCUCAUCCAAAAAGGUUAGCUAGAAAUAUAUAUUUGGGCUUAUUGGCCUUAUAUAAGUAUCCAAAAUCUUUUCAAUAGAUAACCAAUAUAAGAUAAACAUAUACCCUCGC